UACGUAGGGUGCAAGCGUUGUCCGGAAUUAUUGGGCGUAAAGAGCUCGUAGGCGGUCUGUCGCGUCGGCUGUGAAAACCCAGGGCUCAACCCUGGGCCUGCAGUCGAUACGGGCAGACUAGAGUCCGGCAGGGGAGACUGGAAUUCCUGGUGUAGCGGUGAAAUGCGCAGAUAUCAGGAGGAACACCGGUGGCGAAGGCGGGUCUCUGGGCCGGAACUGACGCUGAGGAGCGAAAGCGUGGGGAGCAAACAGG
rnacentral:rRNA from 1 species